rnacentral:rRNA from 1 species
GUCUUUUAGAUUUUAAUUAAAGUCUGGCCUGCCCAUUGAAAUAAAUUUAAAAGGCUGCGGUAUUUUGACUGUACAAAGGUAGCAUAAUCAUUAGUUUUUUAAUUGAAAACUUGUAUGAAUGGUUUAAUGAAAAAUUAACUUUUUUAAAUAAAAAAUUGAAUUUUACUUUUUAGUUAAAAGGCUAAAAUACUUUUAAAAGACGAGAAGACCCUAUAGAUUUUUAUAAACAUAAUUAUUAUAAACUUUUAGGUUAAUUUUUAUUUACAAAUAAUAAAUUUAUUUUGUUGGGGUGACAAUAAAAUUUGAUUAACUUUUAUAAAAAUUUACAAUUAUAAUUGAUAAUAUGAUCCAUUAUUACUGAUUAAAAAAUUAAAUUACCUUAGGGAUAACAGCGUAAUUUUUUUUUAAGUUCUUAUUAAUAAAAAAUUUUGCGACCCUCGAUGUUGGAUUAAGAUUAAAUUUUAGGUGCAGCAGCUUAAAUUUUGAGUCUGUUCGACUAUUAAAUUCUU